UACAGAGGGGGCAAGCGUUGUUCGGAAUUACUGGGCGUAAAGGGCGCGUAGGCGGCCGCCUAAGUCAGACGUGAAAUCCCUCGGCUCAACCGGGGAACUGCGUCUGAUACUGGGUGGCUUGAAUCCGGGAGAGGGAUGCGGAAUUCCAGGUGUAGCGGUGAAAUGCGUAGAUAUCUGGAGGAACACCGGUGGCGAAGGCGGCAUCCUGGACCGGCAUUGACGCUGAGGCACGAAAGCGUGGGGAGCAAACAGG
rnacentral:rRNA from 1 species